rnacentral:tRNA from 1 species
GGGGCUGGAGGCUCAGUGGUUAAGAGCACUGGCUGCCUUUCCAGAGGACUGGGGUUCAAUUCCCUGCACCCACA